UGCUCAAUAAAUGGAACAACAAAGCCUGAAUGACAAUAUAUCUGUAGAUAGCAUCGUUUGCUGAAUAUUUUAAGUGCACUGUUGAGACCUACUGCUCAGAAAAAAAGAUUCCUCUCAAAAUAUUACUGGUCAUUGACAAGGCACCUAGCCAUUCAAAGCUUUGAUGGAGCCAUACAAGGAGAUUAAUGUUAUUUUCAUACCUGCUAACACAGCAUCCUUUCUGCAGCUUGUGGAUCCAAGAGUAAUUUUGACUUUCAAGUCUUAUUAUUUGAGAAAUACAUU